rnacentral:rRNA from 2 species
UACGUAGGGUGCGAGCGUUAAUCGGAAUUACUGGGCGUAAAGCGUGCGCAGGCGGUUCGUCGUGUCCGAUGUGAAAGCCCCGGGCUCAACCUGGGAAUGGCAUUGGAAACUGGCGGGCUUGAGUGUGGCAGAGGGGGGUGGAAUUCCGCGUGUAGCAGUGAAAUGCGUAGAGAUGCGGAGGAACACCGAUGGCGAAGGCAGCCCCCUGGGCUAACACUGACGCUCAGGCACGAAAGCGUGGGGAGCAAACAGG